UCUUUUAGUAGGGAAGAAGCGAAAGUGACGGUACCUGCAGAAAAAGCACCGGCUAACUACGUGCCAGCAGCCGCGGUAAUACGUAGGGUGCAAGCGUUGUCCGGAAUUAUUGGGCGUAAAGAGCUCGUAGGCGGUUUGUCGCGUCUGCUGUGAAAUCCCGAGGCUCAACCUCGGGCUUGCAGUGGGUACGGGCAGACUAGAGUGCGGUAGGGGAGAUUGGAAUUCCUGGUGUAGCGGUGGAAUGCGCAGAUAUCAGGAGGAACACCGAUGGCGAAGGCAGAUCUCUGGGCCGUAACUGACGCUGAGGAGCGAAAGCAUGGGGAGCGAACAGGAUUAGAUACCCUGGUAGUCCAUGCCGUAAACGUUGGGCGCUAGAUGUAGGGACCUUUCCACGGUUUCUGUGUCGUAGCUAACGCAUUAAGCGCCCCGCCUGGGGAGUACGGCCGCAAGGCUAAAACUCAAAGGAAUUGACGGGGGCCCGCACAAGCGGCGGAGCAUGCGGAUUAAUUCGAUGCAACGCGAAGAACCUUACCAAGGCUUGACAUACACCGGAAACGGCCAGAGAUGGUCGCCCCCUUGUGGUCGGUGUACAGGUGGUGCAUGGUUGUCGUCAGCUCGUGUCGUGAGAUGUUGGGUUAAGUCCCGCAACGAGCGCAACCCUCGUUCUAUGUUGCCAGCGGGUUAUGCC
rnacentral:rRNA from 1 species